GACGAACGCUGGCGGCGUGCCUAAUACAUGCAAGUAGAACGCUGAAGGAGGAGCUUGCUUCUCUGGAUGAGUUGCGAACGGGUGAGUAACGCGUAGGUAACCUGCCUGGUAGCGGGGGAUAACUAUUGGAAACGAUAGCUAAUACCGCAUAAGAGUAGAUGUUGCAUGACAUUUGCUUAAAAGGUGCAAUUGCAUCACUACCAGAUGGACCUGCGUUGUAUUAGCUAGUUGGUGGGGUAACGGCCCACCAAGGCGACGAUACAUAGCCGACCUGAGAGGGUGAGCGGCCACACUGGGAAUGAGAGACGGCCCAGACUCCUACGGGAGGGGGCAGUAGGGAAACUACGGCAAUGGACGGAAGUCUGACCGGGAAACGCGGCGUGAGUGAAGAAGGUUUUCGGAUCGUGAAGAGCUGUUGUAAGAGAAGAACGGGUGUGAGAGUGGAAAGUUCACACUGUGACGGUAUCUUACCAGAAAGGGACGGCUAACUACGUG
rnacentral:rRNA from 1 species